GUACUCACCACCAUGCCCAGCUAAUUUUUGUAUCUUUUUUGGUAGAGACAGGGUUUCACCAUGUUGCCCAGGUUGCUCUGAACUCCUGGGCUCAAGUGAUCUGCCUGCCUCAGCCUGCCAAAGUGCUGGGAUUACAGGCAUGAGCCACUGCAUGUGGCCCUAUUAACUCCACAUAAGAGAUAUAAAAACCAAUGACAAAGUCACCCAGCCAGUAAGGGAAGAGGCGGAAUUCAAACUUAAGUCAUUUAAUGCCAAGGUCUUCACUGUGUCUCACGACAACUGCAUUUGAUGCGAUCUAACUUGUGUUGACACUGGGAUAGGAUCCAGAGACAAGCAAGACAAGGUCCCUAAUGCCAGAAGUUCAGGGUCUAUCUCGGCAGCACAGCAGAAUAAGGAUGAGCAAGCAAUUAGAAUUCACCUCCACAUCCGAGCCUCAUCCUGUACUAGCUGAGCCUCAGCUCCCUCCUCUGUAAAAUAGAGUACUAAUUCACCAAAAUAAUGGAGCCAUAAGUCAUCAGUCCUCUGCUAUGUGAGGACACAGCAAGAAGGCAGCCACCUGCAAGCGAGAAGAGGCCCUACACCAGAGCCUGGCCAUGGUGGCACCCUGAUCUCAGACUUCCAGCCACCAGACCUGUGAGAAAUCAAUGUUUGCUGUUAAGGCUGCCUAGUCCAUGACAUUUUGUUAUAUAUAGCAGCCUGAACUAAAACAGUAGUGAUUCUGGAAGUCAGGUCUACUAGCCAAACACUGUGAACCACCGAUACAUUUAAUUCCAUUACACAGAUCCAAAGUAGUUUUAUUAUCAAACUAAAGGUACAAAGAAAAGAGUCAAGAAUCUCUAGGCAAUUAAAAAUUAGCAUCACAAUCUAGGUGCGGUGGCUCAUGCCCAUAAUCCCAGUAUUUAGGAUUCCCAGUACUGGGGAGGCUGAGGCGGGAGGAUCACUUGAGGCCAGGAGUUCAAGAUCAGCCUGGGCAAUAGAGCAAGAACCUACCUCUACAAAAAAUAUAAAAACUAGUCAGGCAUCGUGGCAUAAGCCUGUAGUCCCCACUACUUGGGAGGCUAAGGUGGGAGGAUUGCUUGAGCCCAGUUAUUUGAGACUGCAGUGAGCUAUAAUCAUACUACUGCACUCCAGCCUGGACAGCAGAGCAAGACUCUUAAAAAAAUUACCAUCACAAAUCAAUUAUGUUCAAAUCUCUCUGUUAAUAAGUAUUUCUUGAUUGGGCUGUUUAGAUUUUAGCAUCUACGUGGGCAAUACAAGGCAGUUGAGGGUGAAGGAAACUGGCAUCUCAUGGCUGGGGUGAUGCAAAUUAUUACUCUCUGUGGGCAGUUUUGUAGCUUUUACUCAAAAUCUUUAAAAUGUACAUAUUCUUUGGCUCUGCAGUUCUACUUCUGAGAAUCUUUCAUCCCACAGGGUACAAAAAGAUGUUCACCAUAGUGUUAUUUUUAUUACUGGAAAGUGGGACACAAUAUAAACAGCAGUCAUUACGGGACUGGUCCCAUGUUAGCACACAAGAACACCGGGAUGGUAUACAGCGAUUAAUAAUCAUGUGGCUUUCUCUGCUGACAUGGGAAAGUGUCCAUAAUAGUUUGUCAAAUUAAGAAGAUGACAAAACGGUACAUAAUCAUAUUUCUGUAACAUCGUAUGUAUGGGUGUGUAUGCUUGCAGAAAAGUCUACAAAAAUAUUCCCUGGAUUGUUCACAGUGGCUUUAUCUUGGUAGAAGGAUUUCAAGUGAUAUUUUUUCAAACUUUUGAUUUAACAGAUAGUAUUGUGUUAGGAAGCUAAGCAAAAAAACCCUCAAAAAACAAAAAACUAGAGUGGCCAGGAGUGGUGGCUCAUGCCUGUAAUUCCAGCACUUUGGGAGGCCAAGGCGGGUAGAUCGCUUGAGCUCAGAAGUUGGAGACCAGCCUGGCCAACAUGGCGAAACUGUCUCUACAAAAAAAUACAAAAAUUAGCUGGGCGCAGUGGUACAUGUCUGGAAUUUCAGCUACUUGGGAGGCUGAGUCAUGAGAAUCACUUGAACCUGGGAGGCAGAGGUCACAGUGAGCCAAGAUUGCACCACUGCACUCCAGCCUGGGUGACAGAGUGAGAGCCUGUCUCAAAAAAAAAAAAAAAAAGAAAAAACUGGAGUCAAUCUAAAAUUGCUUUAAAGAAAAGUGUUGAGGAAAUAAUAGAACAGGCAGGAAAGAGAUGUGAGAAAAUGGCAAAGGGGAGUGUGAAAGUUUGGCAAACACAGUUUUAAAUUCUUCAUCCUGCUCUUGCGUGGAAAGACUGUCUGCUCUUGCUUCUAAGUGAUAAACAUCUUAGUGGGAAAACCUCUUCCUUUUAUUUACCCAUUGACCCAGUUUUGGUGGUCAAUGACGCCCGCCCUUCCUGACAGAUGUUGGGGCAUGGGCCAGACAGGCCCGCUGGGUACACAAGGAUGCCCGCUCUUCUCCCUUGAUCCUGCAGUGGCUCCCUAGGGCCUCCAAGUAGGGGGAGUAGUUCUGUUGAUGGAGGGGUCACUAUGUACAAAGACUGAGCUGAAAUUUCUUGCACACCUUCUCAGAAUCACCCUAGGAGGGAAGCUUUUUGAAUGACCCCAUUUUAUUGAAAAAGAAACUAAGGCUCACAGAGGUCAAGGGUCUUGUCCAAGAUCACACAGCAAGUAAGCGAAGGACCUCACGCUCCAGUUCAGGUCGGCCUCUUUCUUUUGUUUUUUUGAGACAGAGUCUCGCUCUGUCGCCCAGGCUGGAGUGCAGUGGCAUGAUCUCGGCUCACUGCAAGCUCCGCCUCCCAGGUUCACGCCAUUCUCCUGCCUCAGCCUCCUGAGCAGCUAGGACUACAGGCGCCGCCACCACACCCGGCUAAUUUUUUGUAUUUUUUUUUUAAGUAGAGACGGGGUUUCACCGUGUUAGCCAGGAUCGUCUGGAUCUCCUGACCUCGUGAUCCACCCGCCUUGGCCUCCCAAAGUGCUAGGAUUACAGGCGUGGGACACCGUGCCCAGCCCAGGUCCUUGUGCCCUUCGAGGGUGCAGACGGUGGUCUCUGCAUCUCCUUUGCUCCACGUGCCAGGCACAGGUGCCUGGGAACUACAGAAGAGGUUGAAUAGAAGGCUUAACAAUGAGUUUGGAAGUCAGGCACAGAGGGUUUGACUUCCGGGGGCACCCCUUGCCAGCUGUAUGACCCUGGCAAGUCACUCUUCCUUUCUGCGCCUUGGUCCCUGCAUCUAUAAAUUGCUGUAACAAGAGGAUUCAGAAUCUGAGAGAUACUGCUUAAAAGGAAAAUGUCCUGGAGGGAUGCCAAACUGCACUCUCAAAGGUUUCGGCUGGAUGUGUGAUAUUGAUGGGGAAACCCAUUUCAGUGUCUCUAAGAAGGGGGUAGUGCUCCUCUUUCCAGGAUGUCUCUGGGGAAUCUAGAGCACCCCAAAGUGUGGUAUGCAUAGAAACAUUGCUGCUUAAGGUCUGAAUAUUUGUUCCUCAUCAAUUCAUGUGUUGAAAUUCUAACCUCUCCUGAAUGGGAUUAGUGCUCUUACACGAGAGGCCUGACAGAGACUCCUCACCCUUCCCACCAUGCGAAGACACAGUGAGAAGGCUCAGUCUAUGAACCAAAAUGUUGACUGUCACCAUUUACUCAAUCUGCUGUCGCCUUGAGCUUGGACUUCCCAGCCUCCAGAACUGUGAGAAAUAAAUUUCUGUUGCUUAUAAGACAACCAGUUUAUGACAUUUCGUUAUAGCAGCCUGAAUGGACUAAGACACCCUUCCCACCAUGUGAAGACAGAGUGAGAAGGUUCGGUCUAUGAACCAAAAACUGACCCUCACCAGUCAUUGAAUCUGCUGGUGCCUUGAUCUUGGACUUCCCAGCCUCCAGAACUGUGAGAAAUAAAUUUCUGUCGUUUAUAAGCCACCUAGUUUAUGAUACUUUGUUAUAGCAGCCUGAAUGGACUGAGACACCCACCUUAAAAAGACAGUACCUCAAAACCAUAAGGCAGGAUAACUGCUAGCCUGAUAUUAAUAGUUUUUAAUUUACUGCUAGCUUCAUUUUGCCAACUGAGUCAGAUAUUUUUUAAAAGUUCUGUUUGCAAUUAUUUUAACUUAGGAGAGGAGAAAAAGAGCAGGCAUCAGCCUGCAUAUGGGAUAUUUCUGAAAGGAUUUUGCUAUGAUUAGCUUGCCCUCAGGGAGAGUAAAAUGUGAGUUAUACAACCAUGCUUAUAUUUAGAUGUUGUUGAUGUUCUGGCUUAUAAUAUAUGAUGAGUUAGAAAUAAUUUUGUACUGAUCAGCCCAACCAGAAAAUAAACAUGCUUUAACUUGUAUUUAUUACUAAACUUGGUCUCCUAAAACAUGAUAAAGCAGUUGAGUCUAUAAUGACUGAGCCAUAGCUUCUCUGACUGACUCUAAGAGGGAAUGACGUUAAUAAGAGAUUAGCCCAUACCUCUAAUAGCCCUGGGAGAGAUGAACCCAAGACGGCAAGGCCCAGCUCUGAUGGAUGAAGGGACAGAGAACUAUAAGAAGACUGGGUUCCAUCUAGGAUGGGUGGCCUGUUGAGUGCCCAUCUUAUCUGCUUAGAUGAUGAUACUUGGAGACCUGACUCAAUUGUUGUGAAUGGUCUUUGUAAAAUUUUAUUUUAGAGACAGGGUCUUGCUAUGUUGCCCAGGCUGGUCUCAAACACCUGGGCUCAAGUGAUCCUCCUGCCUCAGCCUCCUGAGUAGCUGGAACUGCAAGUGAUUACUCUUAUUGAACAAACAAACAAAAACAAGUGCCUGUGACCUAAUAGAGAUGCAUGCAUAUGUUCACCAAAAGAUCUAGAAUGUCCACAACAGCCCUAUUUAUCAUCACCCCAAAUGGGGCACCCUGCACCUACCUCAACAGUAGAUGCAUACAUUUCUGUGUAUUUACACUGUGGAAUAUGACACAGCAAUGACAAUGAAUGAACUACAGCUAUACACAACAACAUGGAUGGCUAUCACAAACAUAAGGUAGAGCUAAAAGCGAAAAAAACCAGCAUAAAAGUGGGCAAAAGCCAUCUAUGUUGUUAAAAAUCAGGAUAGUGGCUGCCCUGGAAGGGGGCAUGAGGAGGCUUCAAGGUGCUUGUCAUGUUCUCUUUCUUCACU
rnacentral:lncRNA from 1 species